AGCGGUGCAAGCCCACCCCGGCCCUCCGGCUGCGGCAUGGGGACUCUCACCUUCUGGUCUCCUCUGCUGCUAGGGACGACGCCCAGCGUGUGCGCCGCGGCUGCCCGGCCCCCCUGUCCACCCGGUUAGGAGUCAUGGCAGAGCUCUCGGAGCCGCUCAGCUGGGCUCCAGAGGUCAGGGAGGAAGUGGGCUUCAGCUCGGGGAUGUCAAGGUCCCGCAGUGAGGGAUGGAAUUACCACCGGAGUUAGGCCCACCGUGAGUGUCCGGCCAAGGGCGGUGAAAGCACUAUUUACCGUAGCGAAGACUUGGAACCAACCCAAAUGCCCAUCAACGAGAGACUGGAUAAAGAAAAUGUGGCACAUAUACACCAUGGAAUACUAUGCAACCAUAAAAAAGAAUUAGUUCAUGUCCUUUGCAGGGACAUGGAUGAAGCUGGAAACCAUAAUUCUUAGCAAACUAACACAGGAACAGAAAGCAAACACCACAUGUUCUCACUCACAAGUGGGAGUUGAACAAUGAGAACACAUGGACGCAGGGAGGGGAACAUCACACAUCAGGGCCUGUCGGGGGGUGGGGGGCAAGGGGAAGGAAAGCAUUAGGACAAACAUCUAAUGCAUGUGGGGCUUAAAACUUAGAUGACAGGUUGAUAGGUGCAGCAAACCACCAUGGGGGUUGAUAGGUACAGCAAACCACCAUGGCACAUGUAUACCUGUGUAACAAACCUGCACUUUCUGCACAUGUAUCCCAGAACUUAAAGUAAAAUUAAAAAAAAAGAGGGAAA